AGAUUUCAAAAGAUCACCUGGUUCAUUACCCAUCGACAGCCGACGGGGAGCCUGCACUGUACACCUCGACGCUGGGCCUGAGUCUAACUGCCACGUCAAGCCUGUUUGCGGAAGGUGUUCUUAAUCUCAGAUGUACUGCAACUGUACACGUGUAUGAGUGGAGUACAGAUGUCUCCCUUCACCUGGACAAUGUUACGUACAGUCAGCCUCAUCACCUUCCGACGUUGCAGCAGACAGAUGGAGCCACUUCCGCCUUGUCCUCGUGCUUAUUAAUUGCGUUCUCCUUGUUCAGUUUUUAUGUCCUUAGACUAAGUUAAUGUAAUGUCUAAGCUUGUGUAAAAGACUUUUAUAUCCCAUUGUGCAACUCGACUCCUUUGAUAAAGAGUUUCCACUUACCUGUAACUAAGAAUUUAUUUGUAAUGAGACACUCUCCCCAUACUCGCUGUGAUCACUAUAUGAAAUAACUUAUAUAGAAGAAGAAGAUGAUGAUAAAAACGAAAAAAAAAAAAAAAAGACUAAAGAAUAAAUGAAUAAGAUAUAGAGUUUAUUUUCCAAGGUGUGGAAUCGUGUCAGGUCGCGUCGUAGACAAGCGGUGUCGCUUUUUUAUGACCUGCUCUGACCUUUUCUGUACGUAUAAAUACACGUACAUUUCCCGGUGUUUUCUGGAAC